GCGGCCGUGGCGGAAUGGCAGACGCGCCGGCCUUAGGAGCCGGUGUCCUCGACGUGAAGGUUCAAAUCCUUUCGGCCGCACCA
rnacentral:tRNA from 1 species